rnacentral:rRNA from 1 species
GACGAACGCUGGCGGCGUGCUUAACACAUGCAAGUCGAACGGAAAGGCCCUGCUUUUGUGGGGUGCUCGAGUGGCGAACGGGUGAGUAACACGUGAGUAACCUGCCCUUGACUUUGGGAUAACUUCAGGAAACUGGGGCUAAUACCGGAUAGGAGCUCCUGCUGCAUGGGGGGGGUUGGAAAGUUUCGGCGGUUGGGGAUGGACUCGCGGCUUAUCAGCUUGUUGGUGGGGUAGUGGCUUACCAAGGCUUUGACGGGUAGCCGGCCUGAGAGGGUGACCGGCCACAAUGGGACUGAGAGACGGCCCAGACUCCUACGGGAGGCAGCAGUGGGGAAUAUUGCACAAUGGGCGGAAGCCUGAUGCAGCAACGCCGCGUGCGGGAUGACGGCCUUCGGGUUGUAAACCGCUUUCGCCUGUGACGAAGCGUGAGUGACGGUAAUGGGUAAAGAAGCAACGGCUAACUACGUG